rnacentral:rRNA from 1 species
ACGCUUGAAGUCAGUCGCGUUAUCCGGGGAUCAGCCUCGCUCUUGCGUGGUGUACUUCCUGGUUGACGGGUCAGCAUCAAUUUUGACCGCUGGAAAAGGUCUUGGGGAAUGUGGCAUCUUCGGAUGUGUUAUAGCCCCUUGUCGCAUACGGCGGUUGGGAUUGAGGAACUCAGCACGCCGCAAGGCCGGGUUUCGACCACGUUCGUGCUUAGGAUGCUGGCAUAAUGGCUUUAAUCGACCCGUCUUGAAACACGGACCAAGGAGUC